rnacentral:rRNA from 1 species
UUAAAUUGAAGAGUUUGAUCAUGGCUCAGAUUGAACGCUGGCGGCAGGCCUAACACAUGCAAGUCGAACGGUAACAGAAAGCAGCUUGCUGCUUUGCUGACGAGUGGCGGACGGGUGAGUAAUGUCUGGGAAACUGCCUGAUGGAGGGGGA